rnacentral:ncRNA from 1 species
UAACAUGCGUAGAUGAAGAGUAGUAACAAGCUUUUGUACUUAUAGAGAGCUGAUGGUUGGUGUAAAUCAGCAGUACACACUUGCGAAUGGACUUCGGAGCAUCCUCAUCAAAAUGUGAGGACGGUGAUACUCCCCGUUACAGGAGGUUUGAGUGCGCAACUAUUGCGAACAAAGGUGGCACCACGGUUACUCGUCCUUUUU